AUGUCCUCAUGUGACCUUUUCACUGUGCACGUACUUCCAGGAUGCAUCUCUUCUCAUAAGAACACCAGUCCUAUUGGAUUAGAACCCCACUCUAUGAUCUCAUUUAACCUUAGUUAUCUCCUUAAAGGCUUCGUUUCUAAAAUAGUCACGUUGGGGGUUAGGGCUUCAACAUAUGUAUUGGGGGGUGUGUUGAUUCAGAUUAUAUCUCAUGGUAUAUUAGGAACUGAAUGUUGUUCCACUCUCCAGAAAAUGUUCUCCCUUUAUCUGAUAGUAGCGUUCAAAUUUUGUUUCAGGAACCACCUUCUUUCAACCCAUGUGUCACAGUUUCAUUUCUGGGUUGCCUCUAAAGGCAAGCUGAAGCUUCAUGUAAUAUUUUGAACAAAUAAGAUGAAAGGAGUGUAAGAGGCUUAAUUUUUGCCUCCAAUGUUCAUUUGAAGUGUAUUUUGUGGAGGAAGACAGUAUUAUUUUCUACUUAUUGUACAAUAAUAAAACUCCUUCAGUGAAGUUAAAUGGAAAAUAGACUCAGUCCAGUACUUAGAAUAGUCUGCCUUUUUUUUUUUUUUAAUCUCUUCCUUAUCUGCUUAAAUCUUGGACUUGAGCUUCUAAGUUUCUAACCAGUGAUACUUGGUAUAAAAUCAAAGCAAGGAAGAGACAGAUACCAGUGACUGAAUGUUGUUACCUGGACUCUCCUAUGCUUUUGAACUGUGGUGCUGGGGAAGACUCUUGAGAGUCCCUUGGACU
rnacentral:lncRNA from 1 species